UACAGAGGUCCCAAGCGUUGUUCGGAUUCACUGGGCGUAAAGGGUGCGUAGGUGGUAGGGUAAGUCGGAUGUGAAAUCUCGGAGCUUAACUCCGAAACUGCAUUCGAUACUGCGGUGCUUGAGGACUGGAGAGGAGACUGGAAUUCAUGGUGUAGCAGUGAAAUGCGUAGAUAUCAUGAGGAAGACCAGUGGCGAAGGCGGGUCUCUGGACAGUUCCUGACACUGAGGCACGAAGGCCAGGGGAGCAAACGGG
rnacentral:rRNA from 1 species